GCAUCGGUGGUUCAUAGUAAAAUGCUCGCCUGCCACGCGGGCGGCCCGGGUUCGAUUCCCGACCGAUGCA